rnacentral:rRNA from 1 species
AGCAGCCGCGGUAAUUCCAGCUCCAAUAGCGUAUAUUAAAGUUGUUGCAGUUAAAAAGCUCGUAGCUGAACUUCGGGGUUUACCCAUUGGUCAGGCUUAAUUGUCUGUACUGGUGAGAUAAAUCUCUACCUUCUGAGGAACUUUCAUGCCAUUUAGUUGGUGUGAUAGGAAAUCAGGACUGUUACUUUGAAAAAAUUAGAGUGUUUAAAGCAGGCUAACGUCUGAAUACAUUAGCAUGGAAUAAUGAAAUAGGACGGAUUGGUUCUAUUUCGUUGGUUUCUAGGAUCACCGUAAUGAUUAAUAGGGAUAGUUGGGGGCAUUAGUAUUCAAUUGUCAGAGGUGAAAUUCUUGGAUUUAUUGAAGACUAACUAUUGCGAAAGCAUUUGCCAAGGAUGUUUUCAUUAAUCAAGAACGAAAGUUAGGGGAUCGAAGACGAUCAGAUACCGUCGUAGUCUUAACCAUAAACUAUGCCGA